rnacentral:rRNA from 1 species
AUUGAACGCUGGCGGCAUGCCUUACACAUGCAAGUCGAACGGCAACGGACCUUCGGGUGCCGACGAGUGGCGAACGGGUGAGUAAUGUAUCGGAACGUACCUUUCAGUGGGGGAUAACGUAGCGAAAGUUACGCUAAUACCGCAUAUUCUGUGUGCAGGAAAGCAGGGGAUCGCAAGACCUUGCGCUGAUUGAGCGGCCGAUAUCAGAUUAGCUAGUUGGCGAGGUAAAGGCUCACCAAGGCGACGAUCUGUAGCGGGUCUGAGAGGAUGAUCCGCCAACCUGGAACUGAGACACGGUCCAGACUCCUACGGGAGGCAGCAGUGGGGAAUUUUGGACAAUGGGGGCAACCCUGAUCCAGCCAUGCCGCGUGAGUGAAGAAGGCCUUCGGGUUGUAAAGCUCUUUCGGCCGGGAAGAAAUCGUAUCAGCUAAUACCUGGUGCGGAUGACGGUACCGGCAUAAGAAGCACCGGCUAACUACGUGCCAGCCGCCGCGGUAACAC